UCUUCCCUCUUUCUUCGUGCCUAAUACAUGCAAGUCGAGCGAACAGACGAGGAGCUUGCUCCUCUGACGAUAGCGGCGGACGGGUGAAUAACACGUGGAUAACCUACCUAUAAGACUGGGAUAACUUCGGGAAACCGGAGCUAAUACCGGAUAAUAUAUUGAACCGCAUGGUUCAAUAGUGAAAGACGGUUUUGCUGUCACUUAUAGAUGGAUCCGCGCCGCAUUAGCUAGUUGGUAAGGUAACGGCUUACCAAGGCGACGAUGCGUAGACGACCUGAGAGAGUGAUCGGCCACACUGGAGCUGAGACACGGUCCAGACGCCUACGGGAGGGAGCAGUAGGGAAUCUGCCGCAAUGGGCGAGAGCCUGACGGAGCAACGCCGAGUGAGUGAUGAAGGUCUUCGGAGCGUAAAACUCUGUUAUUAGGGAAGAACAAAUGUGUAAGUAACUAUGCACGUAUUGACGGUAACUAAUCAGAAAGCCACGGCUAACUACGUG
rnacentral:rRNA from 1 species